CCGGCUCCUGCUUCGUUUCUGCUGAGCUAGACCCAGCGGGCCUAGAGAGUUGGGCUACGGAAGAACUAGCAUUUUCAUUUAAUCGAAUUUAAAGAAAGAAUAUACGGGGGCAGCCACGAUCUUUAUAAAGAACAUAAGUUCCAGGAAAACAGGAACCUUGUCUCUUUGUUCACCUGUAUCCUCCGCAUAUAGAACAGUGCGUGGCACAUAAUAGGUGCUGAAAUAUAACUUUUACAAAUGCAAGAAUCUUUGUACUGCCCAGUGAUGUAAGCCAAGCAUCUGAGACAGUGCCUGGAACCAAUAGGUGCCCAUAAUGAUUUUAAAAUGAGUGAAUGAGUGAAUGAAUGAAUGAGUUUUAACAGGAAAAUGUCAUUUUUAGGUAAAAAGUUAUUGUCUUAACCUUUUUUAUAUUUUAAAGAAAAAAAAUAAUUAACAUCCUCCUAGUCCGAAAUUCAGAUUUGCAGUGAAGAUAUGCCAAGACACAGAAAGAUGAUUUCUUUUCAGGAAAGAUUCUCUAAAUGAAAAUAAUGUGAUUAUUAGGCUCUAUACAUACUGUCAAACUUCUAAUUCGGCCAGCCACACCCUGAAUCCAGUCACAACUCUAAUUUUAUUCACUUCCCUCCUCUUCUAAUUGAAUCACUUUCUCUAAUUCUAGUAAACCCUUUCAUUACAAAGUUACCAGCCCACAAAAUGUGAAAUUUUGCUUGAGGCUUUUAGUAAGAAAAUGGAGGAAAAAAACUCAGUGCUCACAAGUUAGAAAUUACACUUAAAGUAGUAUAAAUGAUAGCAUCUGUUCUAUUUUUAACCUAAAAAUGAUUAACUUUCUAAUAUAAAAA